GAAUGUGGGGCAUUAGAACGGUAGUGUAUACAGGUGGAAUGUGGGGCAUUAGAAUGGUAGUGUAGUGUAUACAGGUGGAAUGUGGGUCAUUAGAAUGGUUAGUGUAGUGUUUACAGGUGGAUUGUGGGUCAUUAGAAUGGUAGUGUAUACAGGUGGAAUGUGGGGCAUUAGAAUGGUAGUGUAGUGUAUACAGGUGGAAUGUGGGGCAUUAGAAUGGUAGUGUAGUGUAUAGAGGUGGAAUGUGGGGCAUUAGAAUGGUAGUGUAUACCGGUGGAAUGUGGGGCAUUAGAAUGGUAGUGUAUACAGGUGGAAUGUGGGGCAUUAGAAUGGUAGUGUAGUGUAUACAGGUGGAAUGUGGGGCAUUAGAAUGGUAGUGUAUACAGGUGGAAUGUGGGGCAUUAGAAUGGUAGUGUAGUGUAUACAGGUGGAAUGUGGGGCAUUAGAAUGGUAGUGUAGUGUAUACAGGUG